GGGGAUAUAGCUCAGGGGCAGAGCGCUCCCUUACCAUGGGAGAGGGCUGGGGUUCAAUUCCCCAUAUAUCCA
rfam:Toxocara canis scaffold644, whole genome shotgun sequence.